GACGAACGCUGGCCGGCGUGCUUACACAUGCAAGUCNNGAGCGGUAAGGCUCCUUCGGGGGUACACGAGCGGCGAACGGGUGAGUAACACGUGAGUAAUCUGCCCUUCACUUCGGGAUAAGCCUCGGAAACGGGGUCUAAUACCGGAUACGACACUCCUUCGCAUGAGGUGGGUGUGGAAAGUUUUUCGGUGGGGGAUGUGCUCGCGGCCUAUCAGCUUGUUGGUGGGGUAAUGGCCUACCAAGGCUUCGACGGGUAGCCGGCCUGAGAGGGUGACCGGCCACACUGGGACUGAGACACGGCCCAGACUCCUACGGGAGGCAGCAGUGGGGAAUAUUGGACAAUGGGCGGAAGCCUGAUCCAGCAACGCCGCGUGAGGGAUGACGGCCUUCGGGUUGUAAACCUCUUUCAGUACCGACGAGGCGAAAGUGA
rnacentral:rRNA from 1 species